rfam:Gossypium arboreum cultivar AKA8401 contig_1586_1, whole genome shotgun sequence.
UAUUAAAAAUUUCAAUCUAUUUCUACUGUUAAAAACUGGCAUGGCAAACAUAAUAACCAGAAAGUUACAUGUAGCGUGCCACAUGUACCUCAUUCUAACAUACUGGGACCUGUUUUUAACAAUAAAAAUAGAUAGAAUUUUUAACA